UGGCUACAGAACGACGCUGGCGGCAUGCCUAACACAUGCAAGUCGAACGAAGGCUUCGGCCUUAGUGGCGCACGGGUGCGUAACGCGUGGGAACCUGCCCCUCGGUUCGGAAUAACAGUUAGAAAUGACUGCUAAUACCGGAUGAUGACUUCGGUCCAAAGAUUUAUCGCCGAGGGAUGGGCCCGCGUAGGAUUAGCUAGUUGGUGGGGUAAAGGCCUACCAAGGCGACGAUCCUUAGCUGGUCUGAGAGGAUGAUCAGCCACACUGGGACUGAGACACGGCCCAGACUCCUACGGGAGGCAGCAGUGGGGAAUAUUGGACAAUGGGCGAAAGCCUGAUCCAGCAAUGCCGCGUGAGUGAUGAAGGCCUUAGGGUUGUAAAGCUCUUUUACCAGGGAUGAUAAUGACAGUACCUGGAGAAUAAGCUCCGGCUAACUCCGUG
rnacentral:rRNA from 1 species